GGCGGGGCCCGGUGCACCCCGAUCGGCGGGCCGCCUGACCCGCGGGAACCUAGCCCCAAGCACCCGCCUCCCUGGCGCCCCCCCCCUCCCCCCCAGGGCCUGGGGCUUCGGCGGGCUUGUUUGAUCACCUGCCUUUCUGUUUCUUCUGCAAUUAUGACCCUGCUGACCCUGGGGAGAGGGCAACACAGCUGCCAAUCAGGAUGCGCUCAUCUCUAAAGGUCAAGAAAGAGUAAGAAGCUGAAGAUAAAAACGAACCCUUUUAUUAGAAUGUAGAGGUCAGUCUUCUUAAGUGAACGCACUUCUUCUCACUUGGGACCUGUCUUCAGUCUUAAGAGAAAGCACUGACAUGAAAUGAGUCAGUCUGCAUCCCUUGCAUUCCAAGCUUGUUUCCCUCAUCAUUUUAGGUAAUUUCUCCCCUCCUCCCCCCUUUAGCUACAAGACACAGACCACCUGAUGAAUUGCACCAUAUGCAACAUGGAUCCAUUUGAAAUACAUCAAUUUGCAAUCUUAAAAGUCAUAGGAGGUUAGAGGAGGUUCGAGGAUGAAGGGGCUGGAAGGCCGGGGAUGCACACCCAUGGAGUCCCUUGCCUUCAGAUAAGGAGGCUGAGCCUUUCAGUACACUGAACCUAACUCCCAUUCCCACCCGUGAAAAAAAUGUGUUUUCAUCCUUAUUUCUGUGCUUGAAAACCUAACACGACUCCUGGUUUGGACCUAAUGUACUAAAGACAAACUCUGGCCUCUGCAGUCUGAAGCCUGGAGCUACAGGUCUCAUGAAACCACCCUCACUGUGGAUGCUCUUUCUACUGCCAUGCUUCGCCCUGCCCAGAAUACCUUCCUUUCAUCCCUCUAACUCCACCUGCAAAUCCCCCCAUCUCCAUUCAUAUCGGGCAGCCCCACAGCUCAGGCAUCCGCUGCUUUUGCCUCAUUAGGUACUAGAAUAAGGCAUUUCAGAUGGGAGGGUUAGUCCAGCCCUUGGUAAGAGGCCUCUGGUUCCCACAGGGUCUGGUUCUAGCCUUCAUGUGGUCCUAGGUUUGUGGAGCAGCGUGGUAAGGUUUGAGGAAGAAGGAACCCAUUUGCAGUCAGCAAAGAGGGAUGAAGGUGAGCUAGGAAAGUUGAGGUCAGUAUCCGUAGCAGCUGAGACCUGUUUGGGAUUUGUCCUGAGCUCCAUAAUAACCCUAGACACUAAAAUAAUUUGAAGAGCUGUGUUUUUCCCUGUCAAUUUAUGACUGGCCAUGUCUGGCCAAGAAAAAGGAGGUGGAGGAAGCACGCCAGGAGCCAUUUGCCAGACAACUCGGCAAAUAAGGCUACAUCUGAAACUGAGGCAGGCCAGAAAUUGUAAUUAGCGUGGAAAUGAAGAUCUUUUCAGAAAAGAAAAUGGCCCCGGCGCUUGUUCUCUAUUGUUUCACCCAUCCUCUGGCACCCACCCAGACAGCCCUGAGACAGCCCCUUGGCUCACAGAUUUGUGAAUACCCUGCCAGGAUAAGGGGGAACAGUCACCCGUCUUCACCUGCGUCUUCACCUGCUUCCGGAAGCGCCACGCGGCCUGUGGUGAAGGGAAGCUCAGGGAGGCUGGUGGGAGGCAGCUACCUAAAAUGUGCAUGAGAAGCCCGGAGCUCUGAGCUGAAGUCAGAGGACACAAACUUGUCAACAUUUUUCUUGGCAAUAAAGAGGAUAGGGGGACGCCUGGGGGGCUCAGAGGUUGAGUGCCUGCCUUCGGCCCAGGGCAUGAUCCUGGAGUCCAGGGAUCCAGUCCCACAUCGGGCUCCCUACGUGGAGUGUACUUCUCCCUCUGCCUGU